CACUGGAGAUUUUAAUCAGGCAACUAUAUAUCAGCAAAAGGCUUUGGAUAUUAAUGAGAGGGAACUUGGGCUUGACCAUCCAGAUACAAUGAAAAGCUUUGGAGAUCUUUCUGUGUUUUAUUAUCGUCUUCAACAUAUUGAGUUGGCUUUGAAGUAUGUGAACCGUGCUUUGUUCUUUCUUCAUUUUACCUGUGGACUCUCUCAUCCUAAUACUGCUGCAACAUACAUCAACGUGGCUAUGAUGGAAGAGGGCAUGGGAAAUGUUCAUGUUGCUCUUAGAUUUCUGCAUGAAGCUCUAAAGUGCAAUCAGAGAUUAUUAGGAGUAGAUCACAUACAGACAGCUGCAAGCUACCAUGCGAUAGCCAUAGCUCUGUCAUUGAUGGAAGCAUAUUCGCUCAGUGUUCAGCAUGAGCAAACUACACUAAAGAUACUUCAAGCAAAACUUGGACCAGAGGAUCUUCGUACGCAGGAUGCUGCUGCAUGGCUUGAAUAUUUUGAAUCCAAGGCUCUAGAGCAGCAAGAAGCAGCACGAAAUGGAACUCCAAAGCCAGAUGCAUCUAUUGCAAGCAAAGGUCACCUUAGUGUAUCAGACCUCUUGGAUUACUUCAGUCCCGAUUAAGAUUCUAGAGGAAGUGAUGCGUAGGAGAAACAGCGGCAUGUGAAGGUAUUGCAGAUAAAUGAUAAAGCCCUUCAAGGCCAUCAAAAUGAAAUGGUUGAAGAUGUCAUGUUCCAUGAAAGAUUGGAAAGUGCAAUGUCUUUAGCUAGUGGCAACAAAGAAGCAAAGGUAGACAUGGUUCAAUAUGAAAAAUCUGAAGAAAAAGAUAAUGUUGUUAUAUACAGGCCCACAGUUGCAGUUGAAGUUGUUGAAGAAACAGCAUCAGAUGAAGUUUGGCUAGAAGCCAAUCCAAAAAGGAGGUUGGGGAAUGCUCCUGGCAGGAAAUCAGGUCGUAGGCGACCUGCUCUUGCAAAGCUGAAUAAAAAUGGUUCUGAAUACCCAAAUAUCAGAGAAAGCAGUUACAGGAGGGAAAUCAUUUCACCAGCUCAAAAAACAAUUCCCAGGACCAUUACAACUGAAUUAUCAGCAACAAAGCAAUCAAAUACACGUGGGUUGAGUGUUGUGGAGGAUUCAAUUAAACUGCAGGAAAAAUCUUGUGUGCCUAAAACGUCAUGUUCUUCAGCAAACCUCUCUGCUAUGGCUUCUAAAUCUGUAUCUUACAAAGAAGUGGCUGUUGCACCGCCCGGUACAGUUUUGAAGCCAUUACUGGAACCAGUAGAAGAAACGAAUGAGAAAAAUCCUGAAACUCAAACAUGCAGCGUCCCUCAUGAGACAUCAAUGGAGGAGGAAAGCAACAAUAUCUCUGUUGUUGAUAGUGUGCCAGAUGAUGGUGAAACAGAUGAAAUUCAUGAUAGUGGAACUGAGUCAGAAAAAUCUGGAUCUGAGCUUGAUGAGACUCCUACAUCCAAUCAGGAAAAGUCAGAUGAAAAAAAUGGAAGUAAGCUUUCAGCUGCAGCUGAACCAUUCAAUCCAGGAACACUGUCCAUAGUUCACCCAUUAAACUCAGUUGCCAUGACAAGCAUUUAUGAUGUAAGAGCUAGUCAAAGCAUGCUUGCAGAUGCAGCGGCACCUCCACUUGCUGCUAGAGUUCCUUGUGGGCCUAGAUCGCCACUGUUCUAUAGAAAUAAAAGAGCAUACCGCAUGAGACAAGCUUUGCUGAAACAUCAAACUCCCCUGACAAUGCCUUCAAGGAGCAUGAAUCCACAUGCACCUGAGUUUGUACCCAGGAAAGCUUGGCAAACAUAUCCUGGAAAUAGAGAUUUAAAUGUUCCAAAUGAGUCAAACUAUAUGCUUGAAAAGAGCAAGGCAGAACAGGAGUUAUUAGACGAGGAAUCCAGCAAUAGAGUCAAAGAUGGUAGUCCAAGAAAGACCAGCUGUGAGUUUGAGAAGGCGGAACUUGCAAGGCAAAUAAUUCUAAGCUUUAUUGUGAAUUCAGUUCAGCACAAUGUUGAUUCUGGAAGUGAGCCUGUACUCGGCGAGAAGAAGUUUGAAAGUCCUUCGGAUGCAAUUGCCAAUGACAGUGCAAUUAUAAAAGUCCUCUAUGGAGACGAAGAAAAGACAGACCAGGUUACUCAGUCAAAUGAACAUGAGCAGUCAAAAGCAAUAGAUGAAAAUAAUAAGAAAAAUGAAGAUGGUGAAGGUUUUAUUGUUGUUAGAAAUCGGAGACGAAACAGGCAGUUCACAAAUGGGGUAACCGGGUUGUACAAUCAACAAUCAAUCUGUGCUUCUGUUCGUUGAAGAUAGAGACAAAAAAAAAAAAGAAGAAUAAGCA
rnacentral:misc_RNA from 1 species